UACGUAGGGCGCAAGCGUUAUCCGGAAUUAUUGGGCGUAAAGAGCUCGUAGGCGGUUCGUCGCGUCGGCUGUGAAAACCUGAGGCUCAACCUCAGGCCUGCAGUCGAUACGGGCGGACUAGAGUGCGGUAGGGGAGACUGGGAUUCCUGGUGUAGCGGUGAAAUGCGCAGAUAUCAGGAGGAACACCGGUGGCGAAGGCGGGUCUCUGGGCCGUAACUGACGCUGAGGAGCGAAAGCGUGGGGAGCGAACAGG
rnacentral:rRNA from 1 species